rnacentral:lncRNA from 1 species
ACUGAAAUUUAUUAACAACUUAAAAUUAAUGUGUUUUCUUUUCUUUUAAAAUGAAAGCAAAGCUUGCACCUUGGCAAUAAAUUGAUUGAUUAAAUAUCAUACUGAAUCUAUAUCAAGAUUUCUUGCUCUUAUUUCUUCCCUAAUAAAUCACUGCUCGAACCAUGCGCCGCUCGCACUUGCAAUCGAAUGCAAGAGUACAGCAUCUAUGGUUAGCAACUCCUUAGAGCACCCAUGUAAAUUGCUAAGCAAAUUGUUUGGAUAUGGUUGAUAUUAGCCAGAGAACAUCUCCUACUUAUAAAAUAGGACAAUGGAAUCCACAUGUAUCCUAAAGGGGUAGUAACAAGUGAUGGAGAGAGGGAUAGGAAACAUCCAUCAAUGUACUGAGCCAUGCUUCCAAAUGGGGUGGUGGGAAUUAAUAGUGUUAUUAUUCAAUCACAUCUAAUAUGUUUCCUAUUGUGGAGUUAUACCACCUCAGUCAAUAUCCUUGGGACUCAAGAGCUGUUGGAUCGACAAGAAUAUCGAUCUGAACUUUGACU